rnacentral:lncRNA from 1 species
GGAGUGAAAUUUAAGUAGAUGAAAGAAGAGCAUGCUAAUAGUGAGGUUUGUUAUUUAAGACUGCUCUCUUUUCUCAAUGGAACUUUUCAUGUCAUGGAAGACAUGAAAAAUACUCCCUCCGACCCGUAUUAAACAUCCUAAUUUUUUUUAGGAUAUUCCACAAUAAAUGUCCUAUUUCUAUAUUUAUAACUAUUUUUAUCCUAAUUUUCCACUUAUACCCUCAUAAUCUUUUACUUGUUGGAAAUUGAAGAAAUGAGAAAAGAUUUACAUUGGGAACUUGAUGAAUUAUUAUAUCAUUUUCUCUCUCAUAUUAUCAGUAUAACAUGUCUUUUAUUUAAUGGCUCUCUAGACUCUCUUUCUCUAUUCAUUCUAACUUUUCAUAUUUAUUGAGAAUGUGUGAAUAACAAAAAGAAUGAUCUAGAGAACUAAUUCACAUGAGAAGUAAUACUUCAUAGAAAAGUGGCGAAAUACUUCAAUUAAUAAAUAAUUUAAAAGGGAAAAUUAGGUAAAAAAAUAUAUUAUUAAUCAGCGUGCCGAAACCAGUUAGGACAUUUAUUUCGGGACGGAGAGAGUAUAAGAUCUUCUAGCCAUGCAUAACUAGUUCAUCG